CCAAGCAGCAAGAAUGAUAAGAAAGAGUAUUUUAAAAACAGACUAAGUAGUGCUGUUUCUCUUUGUAUUUGAGUUCUUUUUGGUCUGAGCUACAAUAAUUAAAAUUCUACUAUGGCUAUCACCAUAGCAGGCAAAGAGCUAACAAGCUAAGUGUUUUUAUCCUGCAUUUUGGUAAAUUAAUUUUAACGAUAACUAAAGGUAUGUUUUCAGAGCACUCUUCCUUAAUAUGAUACACACCUAUUCCACAUUUUUGAGGUGUCGUAUCUGUAUUUUCCUGACAGAUGUUGUCACGAAUCUCAUUUCCUUUCAAAGCUAUUUUGAAGCCCAAGGCACUACAGUUUGUGUGCUUAAGACAGGCUGCUUUGGAGGAGGUUUCAUUUGAGAAAAAUCCCUCUGGACAUCUCUCACAUACAGUGUCACUCUCAGGGGUACCUGUGGAAACAAGAAAACAAUGCAUCCAAUUACAUAUAACCUCAACUGUGGAAAAAAAAUUAGAAAGAAAACAGAAAGCAAAAAAAACAUUCCUCUCUAAACUGUCAUGCUUCUGCUUUUCAUUAAGGAGUGACUUUGGAAGAAAAAGAGACAGAAGAUGCCUUAGAAGAAGGAUGUUCCUGUUGAUGAAAUACAAGAAAAAGAGUACGCAUCUCAAGUUCCCAAUCAGCUGUGAAAUCAAGAAGGGCGCUUGCAUACAACCUGACCUAGCACUCCAUCAGCCAAGGAGUGAAAAGGAAGGAUUUAUAGUUGCCAGAGACCCUGUGCGUGCCAGCCCCUCCCAAAGGCUGUGCCGCUCUCUGUCCAGCCUGCAGCCCGGGGCUGGCACAGCGCUCAGCCGGCCUCAGGAGCGACUUUCCCUGCCGCAGACACGCUGCUCCUGUGUGCCGGCAGCAAGGAGGUGGAGAAAGGAGUGCUCCUGCAAAUGCUGCAUCGUUCUGCCCAGAGCUUGCUGCGUAAUCUUUGCAGCACAAGGGAGGAAUAUACCGUGUGAUGCGUCCGUGUUCUCAGGACGGAGCAUAAAGUCACCCUCCAGCCGUGCCACCGUCUUCAUUGUCUAUUUCGCCACUCUUGUUAAGGGCACGAAUUGCCGCUGUCUGCCUGCCCUUCUGCCACUCCCUCCAACUCCCCUGGAAUCCCCCAUUCUUCCCAGGGAAGCGGCAGCCGCCACCGGGAGACAGAGCAGCGCUGCUUUCCCAGCGCGGUGCUGCUCCAAGCCCUGCCGGCCGCGGCACAAAGGAACAAAGCCUUAAUGCUCACUCACAAAAAGGGACUACAAAGGAAGGUGAUAUCCCAAUGAAAUCAUGAGCAAUGGGCACCAGGGAAACAGAUCUCUAAUGCUUUAAGCCUUAAAUGAGGCACUGGACCGCACCAUCUUCCUGUGUGGGAGUCAAAUCGUAUUUUUCUGCUCUUAGGUUUUAUUUCACCCGAAUUUGCAUCAUUAUAAAGUUCAAGGCUAUCAUAUGGCAAAAAGCAGUAACACAGUGCAGUACAUGCUUAUUAAACUCUUAGUUGUUGCCUCACCUCAAAAAUUAACGAUUGACACAGGGGGAUGCAAUUAUUUUUACAAUGUUUUCAUUCAUUUUUGAGGUCUGCUUGGGUUUAGCUGGUUCAAUCUGAUGAUCUUUUGGAAACUAACUUUUCAAGAUAUUACAAAAGUCAACAUUUUACCUUCUUUAAAAGUUUGCUUCAUUCUGAUCUGAGGGAUUGAAAUUUGUCUGCCAUAUUUCACCAUGCUCAGAGACAUGCAGCAGGCUAGUUGCUCAGACAAUUUAUACUUUGUUCACCUCCCAAAGUCUUUCUGAGGAUUUUGUU